UGGGGAAUAUUGGGCAAUGCCCGCAAGGGUGACCCAGCAACGCCGCGUGGAGGAUGAAUGUCGUAAGAUUGUAAACUCCUGUUAGAGGGGAAGAAUAGUACCGGUUGGACCGGUAUAUGACUGUACCCUCAGAGAAAGCCCCGGCUAACUACGUGCCAGCAGCCGCGGUAAUACGUAGGGGGCAAGCGUUGUCCGGAUUUACUGGGUGUAAAGGGCGCGCAGGCGGGAUAAAAAGUCAGUGGUGAAAUCCUACAGCUUAACUGUAGAACUGCCUUUGAUACUUUUAUUCUUGAGUUCGGGAGAGAGAGACGGAAUUCCAGGUGUAGUGGUGAAAUACGUAGAUAUCUGGAAGAACACCAGUUGCGAAGGCGGUCUCUUGGUCCGACACUGACGCUGAGGCGCGAAGGCGUGGGGAGCAAACA
rnacentral:rRNA from 1 species